GCGUCCACGUAAGCUUUCACUUUUCGUCACCUUUUCGUGUGAAAUGUAUAAAAUCCCUUCCACGCCGCCUACGACUGGGCUCGGUAUCUUCUCCCCCAUUCUUCUAUCAGAAACCCUAAAUCACAGUCGUGAAGAGAUAAGGCCAGACCAGAGAAAUGGCCUCUGUGCAAACUACUUUGACAUCAGUUGUAUGCAAGAACACCAAGCAUUCAGCUACAACAAAGUUGCCAAAUACUUCUUUCUUGCCCGGGUUUGAUGUGGUUGGGAAUGUUGCAAGUAUGCGGAAGAAGGAUAUAUCUCCCACUUCUUUUUCUGGCCCUAAAGCUACCUUAACGUUUGAUCCCCCAACAACUGAUUCAAAGAACACUAAACAAAGGAAGCACACAGUCGAUCCUUCUGCCCCUGAUUUUCUCCCACUUCCUUCAUUUGAGCAAUGUUUCCCAAAUAGCUCAAAAGAAUACAGGGAAGUUCUUCAUGAACCAUCAGGCGAUGUGCUUAAAGUUCCAUUUCGACGGGUCCAUUUAUCUGGAGAUGAACCGGAUUUUGACACUUAUGACACCAGUGGUCCACAAAAUAUUAAUCCAAGGAUUGGACUCCCUAAAUUGCGGAAAGAGUGGGUUGACAGGAGGGAGAAGUUAGGUGGACCAAGAUACACUCAGAUGUUCUAUGCUAAGAAAGGAAUUAUAACAGAGGAAAUGGCAUUUUGUGCUGCUCGCGAGAAGCUCAACCCAGAAUUUGUCAGAUCAGAGGUUGCCCUUGGUCGUGCAAUCAUCCCUUCCAACAAAAAGCAUUUGGAGUUGGAGCCAAUGAUUGUUGGGAGGAAGUUCCUGGUAAAAGUUAAUGCAAAUAUUGGAAAUUCUGCUGUAGUGAGUUCCAUUGAAGAAGAAGUUCAUAAGCUUCAGUGGGCAACAAUGUGGGGUGCUGACACUAUUAUGGAUCUCUCUACGGGUCGUCACAUUCAUGAAACCCGUGAGUACAUCCUACGUAACUCAGCUGUGCCUGUGGGAACUGUACCCAUCUAUCAAGCCCUUGAAAAAGUGAACGGAGUUGCUGAAAAUCUGAGCUGGGAAGUUUUCAGAGACACCUUGAUUGAACAAGCUGAACAGGGUGUGGAUUACUUCACAAUCCAUGCUGGAGUCCUGCUACGAUAUAUCCCAUUAACAGCUAAGCGAAUGACUGGAAUUGUUUCCCGUGGAGGGUCCAUUCAUGCUAAGUGGUGCUUAGCUUAUCACAAGGAGAACUUUGCUUAUGAACACUGGGACGAGAUACUAGACAUCUGUAAUCAGUAUGACAUAUCACUCUCUAUAGGUGAUGGGCUGAGACCUGGGUCAAUUUAUGAUGCCAAUGAUACUGCUCAGUUUGCGGAGCUCUUAACUCAAGGAGAACUGACUCGCAGAGCUUGGGAAAAGGACGUCCAGGUUAUGAAUGAAGGGCCUGGACAUAUUCCAAUGCACAAGAUUCCUGAAAACAUGCAAAAGCAGCUGGAGUGGUGUAAUGAAGCACCCUUCUAUACUCUUGGCCCAUUGACAACUGAUAUUGCUCCUGGGUAUGAUCAUAUCACCUCAGCCAUUGGAGCGGCCAAUAUUGGAGCCCUUGGCACUGCUUUGCUUUGUUAUGUGACACCAAAAGAGCAUCUUGGUUUACCCAACCGGGAUGAUGUGAAAGCUGGGGUUAUUGCAUAUAAGAUAGCUGCUCAUGCAGCUGAUUUAGCAAAACGUCAUCCACAUGCUCAAGCAUGGGAUGAUGCACUAAGCAAGGCCAGGUUUGAGUUUCGGUGGAUGGAUCAAUUUGCUUUGUCAUUGGAUCCCAUGACUGCCAUGUCCUUCCAUGAUGAAACUCUGCCAUCAGACGGGGCUAAAGUGGCACAUUUCUGCUCUAUGUGUGGGCCUAAGUUCUGUUCUAUGAAGAUAACAGAGGAUGUGCGUAAGUAUGCAGAGGAACAUGGCUAUGGGAGUGCUGAGGAAGCUGUGCAGCAGGGGAUGAAAGCCAUGAGUGCUGAGUUUCUGGCUGCAAAGAAAACUGUGAGUGGGGAACAACAUGGAGAGGUUGGUGGUGAGAUAUACUUGCCAGCUAACUCUACCCUUUGAAGAGUUAAAUGUUUAAAGGGGACCUCAUGCACUAGGGACACCUUUUACAACAUGGACUACUAGUGCCACGUGCUUUUGAUGCUUAUAGAUAGACAGGAAGGGAAAAUGGAAAGACUGAAGUUCGUUGAUCUUAGCCACGCAUAUGGAAUAAUGCAUCCUUAUGUGGAAUUACUGAGGCUUGUAUGCUAAAGCUUAAAGCCAAGGUGACUUGUUAUAUUGUAUCGGCAGAUGACUAGAGACAACUAGGUGCCUCAGGAAGAAAAUAAAAGAGUGUGGAGAACUGAUCAAGACUUCUUGGAGCACUGGAGGGAGCUGGCCAUACAAGAAACAAGAAUCAUGAUCUGUGAUCGUCAUUUUCAGGCUGUAGCUCUGGCUGUUUGGCUAAGGCUCAGGCAGGUCAGGCUGAGAAAGUCCCUUUGAACCUGAACAGGAUAAUACCUGCGUAGGGAGCGUGCAUUUUCUUUCGUGUUUUCUGUGCUUGCACAGGGAAGGAGAGCUUCUAUCCAUGGUUUUGGCUCGCCGAUCAAUUGGGGGCAGGUUCGGCAUACUGGUCAGGAUUAUUGUUUCUGGCUGUCAGCCUUCGAUCUUAAUUUUUGAAAUGGCUCAUGAGCUAUUUACUGGCCUUUUGAGGCAUCUCUAGUGAUAAAAAUGAGACUUGCUUA